rnacentral:rRNA from 1 species
GACAGAGGCCUCGAGCGUUAGGCGGAAUCACUGGGCGUAAAGGGUGCGUAGGCGGGUCUUUAAGUCAGGGGUGAAAUCCUGGAGCUCAACUCCAGAACUGCCUUUGAUACUGAAGAUCUUGAGUUCGGGAGAGGUGAGUGGAACUGCGAGUGUAGAGGUGAAAUUCGUAGAUAUUCGCAAGAACACCAGUGGCGAAGGCGGCUCACUGGCCCGAUACUGACGCUGAUGCACGAAAGCGUGGGGAGCAAACAGG